rnacentral:rRNA from 1 species
AACGAACGCUGGCGGCAUGCCUAACACAUGCAAGUCGAACGAGACCUUCGGGUCUAGUGGCGCACGGGUGCGUAACGCGUGGGAACCUGCCCUUAGGUUCGGAAUAACUCCCCGAAAGGGGUGCUAAUACCGGAUAAUGUCUUCGGACCAAAGAUUUAUCGCCUUUGGAUGGGCCCGCGUUGGAUUAGCUAGUUGGUAGGGUAAAAGCCUACCAAGGCGACGAUCCAUAGCUGGUCUGAGAGGAUGAUCAGCCCCACUGGGACUGAGACACGGCCCAGACUCCUACGGGAGGCAGCAGUGGGGAAUAUUGGACAAUGGGCGCAAGCCUGAUCCAGCAAUGCCGCGUGAGUGAUGAAGGCCUUAGGGUUGUAAAGCUCUUUUACCCGGGAUGAUAAUGACAGUACCGGGAGAAUAAGCUCCGGCUAACUCCGUG